ACCAUCUUAGAAAAAACACUUGCUUGACUAAAAAAGAUUGGCAGAACGAAUCAAAGGUAACACUUUCAUGAGUUUGUCCUUAAUCAGAAUAAUAACAUCAUCAUCAUAGAAAAAAUGACUGGUUUUCAAGAUGGCAUGAUUCUCUUAAAUUUAUGGGCUUUGAAUUGCAUGCAAGCUGGUCAGGCCAGAAUAUUUAUAUGGAGUUCAAUUUUUAUUAAAUUAGAAUUUUGAAGAGGAAGGAUGACGCAUCUCUGUAGAAGCCUCGAUCCCAUGGCACC
rnacentral:lncRNA from 1 species